UUCUGUCUCCCCAGCAGAGGCCCUCGCACGCAUUGAUUCAGCAAAGGCAGCAGAUUGCUGAGCCUGGACUGCAUCUAGCAAUCUCAGAGGGCUGUGUCCUUCCGAGAAGAGAGAUUGGGAGGAAAGGAAAGCUGAAAUAGAAUGAAGAGGGGAUGCUGAUAUAGCAUUAAUAAACAACAAUAAAAGCGGGAUAGAAAACAGUAUAAUUCCAAUUUUAUUUUUAAAGAUGUUUACACACCUUGCAUAAAAAAGACACUGAGAAGAAAUGCAUCAAGUUUUUAAAGAUCUUUAUCUCAUCGUAGGAAGACUGAAUUGCUCCCUCUACUGUCUAUACCAUGAGGAUGUUUUCCUGAAAGAUAGAAUGGAGCUGCCUUCGUUGUCAAGAUUCAGGAUAGCCCCAACCAAGAUUAUUGCCAGAGAAAGAGAGAAACUCAUCAGGAGAAGGUGGAGUACAUACACUGGAUCACCGGGAGUAGCUGAAGGACCUGGAUGACCUGGAGGAAGGCACUUUGACCCAAGAUGAAGCUAAUGUGAUGAGCCACUCUGGCUCAACUAGGCUCGGAGAGAAAUAAGUUGAGAAUGUUGGAGUGCACUGAAGGUCUUCAUUUGGAAGUCCCAGUACGUAUCACCCUUUGACAAGAUUAGCUUUGGGGAAGAGGAAUGGCCUCACCUUGCAGGCUUGUUCAGAGACCUUUUUCUGGCAGUGGAAAAACAUCAUCUCUCAGGCCAAGAGGGACCAGGGAUAUCGCGCAGCCAUGAGAAACAGCGUAGUGAACUGACCAUACCCUUUGCUUGCUGUGUGGAACUGUGACUGAUUUCCCUUGGGCUAAGUUCCCAAGUUUCUUAGAGGAUUCAAAAGGUAGGAUGUGGGUCUCCUGCUAAUAAGGCUUAUAUGGGUUAGAACAAUUCAUUAGAAAAAAAUAUCAAAGGAAUGGAUUUUUGGAACAAGUCAUAACUUGUUAUACUCAAAUAUUAACAGAUAUUAUGUUAUACUCAGAUACCUGCGGAAUAUCUCCUUUUGGAUGCCCCCAGGCACAUCAAAACUCAAGUCCAACAUGGAGUUCAACAUCUUUCCCAUUAGCCAACAAUUUACUAUUUCUCCUCCAUUCUCUGUCUCCAUUUUUUUUUUCUACAUCAUCUUCCAAGGUGCCUGAAACGGAAAGCUUAUAGUCAUUCUAAGCGUUUCUUUCUUUGGAUAUUUCACAUCAAAUAAUCAUGAAUUAGCUGCUUUUAACCUCAAAUGUGUCUCAAAUCCAUUGUGUCUACUGUGUCCCUGUGGCUCCUGCUGCAGUGUGGUCCUCAUGAGGUUUUGGUCAGACCAUUGCAAUAAGGGGAUUCCAUAUCUCUAGCCUGGCAUGCUCCAUUUCAUUUUCCAUUUUGCUACUAGACAAUUACAUACUUUUCUUGAACAAAAAAAAAGAAAAGGCUUUCAGUGGCUUAACUAAUAUUUCUUUUAGGAUGAAGUCUCAAAUCCUUAGCAGAGUCCGCAAGUCCUUCUAUAAGCUCAAUUUUGCCUACUUCUACCACUAGACUAAGAUUUUUGAAGGAAGACUAAAUUUAUUGCUUUCUUUUAAAGUGCCCAGGACUUACUGUGAUGUUUCAUAUAUAUUAAACCCUGAAAUAUUUAUUAAAAUUGAAUGGAAUUAACUUUUGGCAUGGGAAAUAAUACUUGGAAAGCUGAAUUUUUACAGUCUUCAAGUUCAUUGUGUAAUACUGUCUUUGGUGCCAUUUCUGGCCUGUGAUGGGGUUUUGCUUACCCUGGAGAAAUUCUCCUCAUGCCUCCUUUCUCUCUGUUGGUGAAGAUUACACCUGCUGCUACUUUAUUCCAGAAACUGGAUAACCUUCUGCCUUGUUUUUGUGCUGAGUGACCCUUUUGACAGACCCUGUGGCUCUGACCCUUUAAACAGUAGAAGUAUCCUGGUGUUUUUACUCGGCAGUGGAUCGUGAUAUUUAAAAAUCCCUUCGUUGAGCACCUUUGAUUCUCCAGGGAUGCCCAUAAUAAAUAUUUGCAUUAUUAAAAGAGCUAUAAACACAGUAUAAAAAUGAGUGUGCAAGGAAGUCACCACUUGGCUUUUGAUGAUGUCUACCCAAAUGAAAAAUGAAUGAAUGUGCAAUUAAUAAUAAAUGUCCUUGUGUUCCUGUUUUAAUUUUAACUCAUCAGAGAAUGUUAAAAUUAAAGUGGAACCAACAUUUGCUUUAUUGUUUUAUUUAAGGCAGAAUGUGGCCUUCGUGUAGCCAAUUCAUGCAACUUCACAAAGCGUAGAAUUCUAUUAUCUGUAUUGUCACUUAUUAGCUGUUAACUUUAUGCAUGUUACUUAUUAGCUCUCUAUUAGCUUCAGUUUCCUCAUAUACAAAUGGGGAUAAUAACAACGUAUAUAUCAUAGAACUCUUGAUGGUAUUAAAAGAAAUAGUUCCCCUGAUGCAUAGUAACCGCCAAAUAUAUAUCAGGAUGACAACUUUAUUUGAGCCUCAGCCAUUGUGAGGUAAGCAUCUAGAAUUUUUUUUUCUCAUUUUAGAGGUGAAGAAAUGUUUUCAUUGAAAAUAAUCUGUCAAAGGAUGCUUAGCUUUCUAAAUCCCACUAUAUAGAUUCUUUUUCAGUUGAGAAGAAUGAGUCAAGGAAAAUCUUUUUCUAUACUCUCUAGCCUUCAGAGAAAGAAGAGAGUAUUAUAUUUAUGGUUAACGAUUGAUAUAGGAGAGAAAUUUCACAAUUCCUGCCUCUCUGGCUUUUCUUUGAGCCCUUGACUGGCAUGGCUAUGACUUUAUUUUUCCUCAGGAACAUUUUGUCUAAAUCUGUCUUGACUUCCAUGUAUCAGCAAGUUGGUGAUUGGUUCUAGCUAGUUCAAUACUAGAGGUUACUGUCCUUCAGUCCACCACCAGCCUUGGAAAUGGCAUCUUUUCUAAAAGGUCAUGCCAAAAUCAGCAUCUCGUCAGGAUCCAGAACUCUCUUUCUUUCUGUCAAGACCUUGUGGGGGUAUAAACAUUUUUUCCAUGGAUCCAAGCCACAUGAGAGAAAAAUCAUCACCAGUCUGGAUAAGUAUUUAAAAUUAUUAACCCUGUCUAAUGUGUUUCCUUGGGGAUGAGGUAUGAUGGACAGGGGUGCAGGCGCUUCCUGCUUAAACUUUACGGCUGCUCACAAAAGAACUUACCUCCCAAAUCAGAAGGAGCUACUCCCAGAGGGACCAUUAAGACCAUCUAACUGCACCUGCUGGUAUUUUCUUUUCUCUUCUGACCUUAGUUUCCAGGGUACAGCUCACUGGACCGUGGAACUCUUGAGGCAAGGCAGUAUCUUCCUCAUCUCUGUAUCGGUAGCAGUUAGCAGUGCCUAGACCACAAACAAUACUUUGACAAUUGAUGAAUGGACGGACACUGUGGACUCUAUUGGUGUUUUGAAGUUAGUUUUACUUUACUCUGCUUUUCCACAUGGUAUUUCACAUGGGAACUUAGGAAAGAGGGAUCAGUGCCAGAAGGAUGCUAUCCUUACUUCUGACGAACCUCCAUUUAGUUCAAGAUUUAUAUCUGCUCAUGGGGAUGCUCACUCUGCCUCCACAUUCUGAACACAGCUAAAUGUAUAGAAGAAUGGAAUGCCCACCCCCACCCCAAUCUGGGAGCACUGGAGGGCUGCGAAAGUGUGAACAUAUCAUUGUUCUAGUGCACUGUAUUUAUUGAAGGGCAAUAUGGCCGAGAUGGUUGAAGCUAUGCAUGUUGUCACAUGAAGUUUGAAUGCUGGAAUUUAGACUGCAUUUCAUACCAGGAGCGAAGGGUUGAAAUGCUCUGGAUAGAAUGGAAAUGGGGAAAGACAAAAAAUAUUUCUGUGGCAAUUAAUAUUUCUAAAAGCAAAAAUGUCCUAUGUUGGGAGGAAUUUUUUUAUUUUAUUUAAAUGGGAACUAGUAAAAGCCUCCAUUUGUAGAAGGAAGGCGUGUAUCUUGUUGAAAAAGUUCUGGAUUUUUUUCUCCCCUCCUCUCUCGGUCUUUAAACAUCAGGAGAUGUGAGCAUAGUGAGUUUUAUAUAGUGUAUUGGUCAUGUUAUUGUUUUUCUUUUUCUUUUUUUAAAAAUUAAUUGUCUCUAAGCCAGUUCUCUAACAGCUGUCUGAUGGAGAAUGGUGCUAAUGUCAACGUCCCCGGCGGGUGGUCCAGGAGGGGCUGGUAAGUCCCUCAGAAGGGCAAUGCCUUCUCCUAUAAUGCAAAGGAGGUAUAUGACCUAGGAGAGGAAAGCUACUCCCAGCAGCUUUUGUAAAAACAGUUUCAAGAGAAAUACAUUCAAGCCUUUCUCUGCAUGUGAAAUCUCUUAUCUUCUUAUUAGAAGCUAUUUAGCCAUUUCUUUGAUGAAAAUUGAAAUAUUACAGACAUUCUCUCAAAAGGGCCGCAAGGCCACAAUCUUCAAGCAAGUAAGUCCUACCACUAGAGUUAGGUGGCCAGGGUCUGAAAGGGAAUAGUGAAUUCAAAAUGCUUUUGAUGCCAGCACAGAAGAAGAACUGGGAUCUCUGAAGAUAGGAAGGAGUGAAAGAAGGAAGGAAGCAGGGAAGAAAGUGGAGAGAAGAAGACAGAGGAGGAGGAGAAAGAGAGAAAAGGAAGGAAGGAGAGAAAGAAGGAAAGGAAGGGACCAAACUAACAGAGUUUUUGUGGAGAAAAACACCAGGAAAAAUAAUGCUAGCUUGCCUCUAAUUAGUGUGAAAAAAAUUGAUGAAGUGAACAUUUUUUCCCUUUUGAAAAAAGAAGGCGCUACCUUUGAAAUUGGAGCUGUUUACAAGACAAACUAAGUUACAUGUGAACAACACUAUCAGUGUUUCAACACCCAGUCUUGCAUCGUAUUGUGUAUCCACUUAAGAAAAACUGGCUCCAAUUAGGGAUCUCCUGUCGAGCGUCUUAUUUAUCAGCUUCCAGAACAGCUGUGAGCCAUUCAGGAUGCCACUAGUUUUUCCUCAUUACACUCUCCUUAGAAUUACAGAUGUGCCUGGUGCCUCCCCAGGGAACCACAUUCUAGUAAACACAUCCUUCUAUGUUUCAGGGGCUUCUCUGAAAUCAGCUUGUGAACACAGGCUGACAUGGUCAGUUGAAGUUGGCUAAAGAGACUUAAGGCUGUAAAUAUCCCCUGUAAUUUCUUGGGAAAGAAAAGCUGGAUAAUGAAAGGGAUUUAGGAUGUGUGGAGAAAAGGAGGGAGCCAGUUAAAAUAAUACACUUUCAUUUUUAAUCAGCUUUACCAAAAAAGUUGUAUUGAGAAUUUGUGACUGAGCAGCCACUGCUGGAAGUGUACACUUUACUGUCACAAGUUUAUUUAAUCAGAGGUUAAGGAAAGAGUCUGGGGCAAGUAAAAGAGAAUGGGUGAAUCACCAUAUUUCAAGUAACGUACAUAAUUUUGCUCUGAUAGUACAAACAACUGUAUUUAAAAAUCUUGUAAAGUGAGUUCUUACUGUUCCUGCAGAAUGGCUUAGUAGAAAACACAUAGUGUAUUUAGCAAGUAGCCUCAAAAUCUUAUUUCCUCUUCUCUUCCCCACCACUACUUGCUCUCAAGAGUAAAUCACUGUUGGUAUUAAUGAGCCAUAGUUGUUUUUCUUAUUGAUAAAGAAAAGAAGGUUCUCAUGUUGGCAGACACCCGGCUAUCUGGAGAAAGGAAGACAUAAUCAGUUACAGGACUCACUGAGAAACAAAAGUGUGGGGAGGCUGCAGUGUUGAUGCCUAAUUUUUUCACAUCUCACUGUUGCCACAUUUCGGGUGGUCCUUUUUCACAAGGAUUUGUUGGGGUCACGUGUGCUGCUGUGGCCAAUGGUUCAUCUCUCAUGCAAACAGAGACUGGGGAAGUACUUCCACAGCAGGGGCUUCCUUCCUCUGCGGCUCUUGGGAACUCUGCAACUACCUUGUGAAGAAUCUCAGGCUCACCUCUAGACAGCUGCCGACCCAUCAGGGAUCCCAGCAGGGAUUUGUGGAGACCAGUCCAGACCAGAAUGAUCACCCAGCAGAUCCACAGAAACUCCAGCUAAGGGAAUAAUUGUUGUCUUAAACCACUAGGCCUUGGGGGUUUUAUUCUAAACAGCAAAAUUCAACUAAUGUAGAAAGCCAGAUAAUGAAAUGGAUUAGGAGUGUAUUGGAAUCAUCCAUACAUCUAUACUCACAAUCUAUCAUUUUGCCAGACACUGUGCAAAAUAUUGGAAAACAAGACAAACAGUUUUCCUUCCUUCAGUUUGUUCUGGAAACCAAGUUACCAGCAACUACACUAGAGGGUUAUAAAUAUCAUAAAAAGAGGACAUUGGAGUACAGAGCUAGGACACCCAACCCAGGGCUGGGAGUUGAGCUGCAGAAUGUGUAGGAAAGCCUCAAAAGUAGAACUUUGAUGCCGAGCUGAUAUUGUUUAGAUGAAGGUGGGUAAGGGGUGCGGAGGUGGGGGUUGGGUGAGGUUCCAGACACAGUGAA